UACGUAGGGUGCGAGCGUUAAUCGGAAUUACUGGGCGUAAAGCGUGCGCAGGCGGUUUUGUAAGUCAGAUGUGAAAUCCCCGGGCUCAACCUGGGAAUGGCAUUUGGGACUGCAAGGCUGGAGUGCGGCAGAGGAGACUGGAAUUCCUGGUGUAGCAGUGAAAUGCGUAGAUAUCAGGAGGAAUACCGAUGGCGAAGGCAGGUCUCUGGGCUGACACUGACGCUCAUGCACGAAGGCGUGGGGAGCAAACAGG
rnacentral:rRNA from 1 species